AUAUUCCCAGACUCCGAGCCUGUUGUCCUAAGUCAUAUACGAUAUGGACACUGUGCCUGUAAUACUUUAUUACACAGGGAUAGCCGAGAAAUUGACUAUCCUCUCAUACUUAGAAAGGUGUCCUAUGCAUACUAUC
rnacentral:ncRNA from 2 species